rnacentral:rRNA from 1 species
GAUGAACGCUGGCGGCGUGCCUAAUACAUGCAAGUCGAGCGAACGGACGAGAAGCUUGCUUCUCCGAUGUUAGCGGCGGACGGGUGAGUAACACGUGGAUAACCUACCUAUAAGACUGGGAUAACUUCGGGAAACCGUAGCUAAUACCGGAUAAUAUUUUGAACCGCAUGGUUCAAAAGUGAAAGACGGUCUUGCUGUCACUUAUAGAUGGGUCCGCGCUGCAUUAGCUAGUUGGUAAGGUAACGGCUUACCAAGGCAACGAUGCAUAGCCGACCUGAGAGGGUGAUCGGCCACACUGGAACUGAGACACGGUCCAGACUCCUACGGGAGGCAGCAGUAGGGAAUCUUCCGCAAUGGGCGAAAGCCUGACGGAGCAACGCCGCGUGAGUGAUGAAGGUCUUCGGAUCGUAAAACUCUGUUAUUAGGGAAGAACAUAUGUGUAAGUAACUGUGCACAUCUUGACGGUACCUAAUCAGAAAGCCACGGCUAACUACGUG